rnacentral:rRNA from 1 species
UACGAAGGGGGCUAGCGUUGCUCGGAAUCACUGGGCGUAAAGCGCACGUAGGCGGACUCUUAAGUCGGUGGUGAAAUCCUGGAGCUCAACUCCAGAACUGCCUUCGAUACUGGGAGUCUCGAGUCCGGGAGAGGUGAGUGGAACUGCGAGUGUAGAGGUGAAAUUCGUAGAUAUUCGCAGGAACACCAGUGGCGAAGGCGGCUUACUGGUCCAUAACUGACGCUGAGGUGCGAAAGCGUGGGAGCAAACAGG